rnacentral:rRNA from 1 species
UACGUGAGGUGGCAAGCGUUUGUUCGGAUUUACUGGGCGUAAAGGGCGCGUAGGCGGCGCAACAAGUCACUUGUGAAAUCUCCGGGCUUAACCCGGAGCGGUCAAAGUGAUACUGUCGUGCUAGAGUGCGGAAGGGGCUACUGGAAUUCUCGGUGUAGCGGUGAAAUGCGUAGAUAUCGAGAGGAACACCUGCGGCGAAGGCGGGUAGCUGGGCCGACACUGACGCUGGAUGCGCGAAAGCCAGGGGAGCGAACGGG